rnacentral:rRNA from 1 species
GAUGAACGCUAGCGGCAGGCCUAAUACAUGCAAGUCGAACGGUGUCUUCGGACAUAGUGGCGCACGGGUGCGUAACACGUAUGCAACCUACCUUACAUUGGGGGAUAGCCUUUCGAAAGGGAGAUUAAUACCGCAUAAGACAGUAGCUGGGCAUCCAGCAGCUGUUAAAGAUUUAUCGAUGUAAGCUGGGCAUGCGUCCAAUUAGCUAGUUGGUGAGGUAACGGCUCACCAAGGCAAUGAUUGGUAGGGGAACUGAGAGGUCAAUCCCCCACACUGGCACUGAGAUCAGGGCCAGACUCCUACGGGAGGCAGCAGUAGGGAAUAUUGGGCAAUGGACGCAAGUCUGACCCAGCCAUGCCGCGUGCAGGAUGAAGGCGUUAUGCGUUGUAAACUGCUUUUAUACAGGAAGAAACGACUCUUGCGAGAGGCAUUGACGGUACUGUAUGAAUAAGCACCGGCUAACUCCGUGCCAGCCGCCGCAGUAA